rnacentral:rRNA from 1 species
ACGGGUGAGUAACGCGUAGGAAUCUACCUAGUAGAAGGGGAUAGCCCGGGGAAACUCGGAUUAAUACCGUAUACCUCCUAAGGGAGAAAGAGGGCCUCUCUUGAUGCUCUCGCUAUUAGAUGAGCCUGCGUAAGAUUAGCUUGUUGGUAAGGUAAUGGCUUACCAAGGCUACGAUCUUUAGCUGGUCUGAGAGGACGAUCAGCCACAUUGGGACUGAGACACGGCCCAGACUCCUACGGGAGGCAGCAGUGGGGAAUAUUGGACAAUGGGCGCGAGCCUGAUCCAGCCAUACCGCGUGUGUGAAGAAGGCCUUCGGGUUGUAAAGCACUUUAAGCAGGGAGAAAAAGUUAUAAGUUAAUACCUUGUAACCGUGAUGUUACCUGCAGAAUAAGCACCGGCUAAUUCCGUGCCAGCAGCCGCGGUAAUACGGAAGGUGCAAGCGUUAAUCGGAAUUACUGGGCGUAAAGCGCGCGUAGGUGGUUUGUUAAGUUGGAUGUGAAAGCCCUGGGCUCAACCUAGGAACUGCAUCCAAAACUAACUCACUAGAGUACGAUAGAGGGAGGUAGAAUUCAUAGUGUAGCGGUGGAAUGCGUAGAUAUUAUGAAGAAUACCAGUGGCGAAGGCGGCCUCCUGGAUCUGUACUGACACUGAGGUGCGAAAGCGUGGGUAGCGAACAGGAUUAGAUACCCUGGUAGUCCAC